ACUUGGCUAUGAGUAGAUCGAAAGCAAACUGAGGCCAGGGGCCUUAUCUUGUUCAAUUUUACAUACUGCGUGGCUUUCAUUUUCAUUAUGGAUCAAUCAGAGGUCCAGAAAAGUGUGUCUUCUUUUUCUUCUUUCUUUAUUUGAACUCAUGAACUAUUAAUGACCUGCGGUUGGCAACAGGGGAAGUAUCCAAACAUCAAAGUAACAGCAACUCCCUGCUUGAGUCUUACAAGAGAAACCCAACUCCCGCUUGUACUUGGGAUAUUACCCUCUGAACUGAAGGACAUGAUAACAUCAGAACACAAUAAUCCAACUUCAGAGUUCAUCCACUCUUGGUCCUUUGCAUGGCUGAAAUAAAGAAUAUGUAUUUAUAAUAGUCACCUCUGGAAUAUCACAGACAAGUAAGUGGUCACCCAGUGGAAGCGUGAACACUCACUCUUAUGCGGACCACCGAUUUCACCCCUGGAACG